UACGGGGGGUGCAAGCGUUGUCCGGAAUCAUUGGGCGUAAAGCGUUCGUAGGCGGCAAGGUAAGUCUGAUGUUAAAGCCCGGGGCUCAACUCCGGUUCGGCAUUGGAUACUAUCUAGCUAGAAUGUGGUAGAGGUAAAGGGAAUUCCACGUGUAGCAGUGAAAUGCGUAGAUAUGUGGAAGAACACCAGUGGCGAAGGCGGCUCUCUGGUCUGCAACUGACGCUGAGGCUCGAAAGCAUGGGUAGCGAACAGG
rnacentral:rRNA from 1 species